AAGGCCAACUGAAAACCUGCCCCUAAACAAACCCAAGGAUUUUAAUAGCUACUGUAGAGACUACAAUUGGAUGCAAAUUUUGGGGCUGGCUUUUCACAGAUGAGACAGCAAGCCCCAGGUCAGGUGUAUGCCCAGUUCACAUGAGUCAGGAGAAGAGUGGAAGAAGAAACUGUGUUAUCACAAUUGCAAAAACUUGGGAGAAAAAUUAUUACAGCACAGCUACGUUUAGGAAUGGGCUUCCCAGAGCAUCCAGUCUCAAUGGACCACCUUGAAUGCUGCUUGGAAGGAAGGAAGCGCUGAAGACAGCCAACUGCAAAAUGAUCUGGGUGGCUUCCUCAUCCCACUUUGUCAAGAGUUCUCUGAAAAAGGAAAUGAAGACUUACUGGUUCCUAACUUCACAGGUCCUUUGGAAACAGAAAUGGCUCACAAAGGGAAGCAGAUACCUAUGCGUUUUGGAGGUCAGCCUCCUUUGCCGGCACAGAGAAGAAAACUAACUGGCUUGGUGUGUUGUCACCAGGGCAGAAGGCAAUGCUGGCAGAAGCGCUGGCUGUGUGUGGCUGUCCACCUCUCUUACCCUGGGAGCAGAUCCAAAAAUCACACAGUGGGAAAAGCUUAAUGCAUUUUCAUGUGAAAAAUAACCACCUUAAAAAGAGGGCCAGGGACCCACAGGAUAUGCCAGCAUCUCAAUGCCAGGUAUUUCAGCUUGCUGUUGCUGUAGGGCAAGCCUGUAGCGAUGGGAGAAUGGGUAGGUCUUGGGCAGACAGGCAGUGUGGGACGUUUUGCUACAGCUCAGGAAAUUUCCUGAGGCAGUUAGACAGGAGGUGCAGGUCAAGUGUGUUUAGAGGUGAGUGGGUGGUGUGAAUCCCCCUCUUCUGAAGAGUUUUCCUCAGACCAAGCUUGGCACAGCCCAGGGUAAGUAGGCUUCAUGCAGCUGAGGUGAGAUUUUGUUUGCUUUCUUGUUUGCUGGUGCAAAGCUUCUCAGAGAGGCUGCUACAAGAAGUCAGGCUGGUGUUUUAGCUUGAGUCCAGAAGCAUCAGCCCUGACGCAGAUUGGAGUGGAAAGUUCUCCUCUUAGAAAAAUUUAAAUAAGAGGGUGGUUUCGCUCUGUGUGCUGCUUGGGCCAGGCAGCUAUCAUUACUGACUUUCAGUCCUUGGUUCAACACAUGCUUAGAUCUCUAGCUCAGAAAUUGCGUGUCCUUUUCCCAUGCAGAGAGGAAAAAGACAGCUCAAGUCCUCCUGCACUGUGCAUGGUGAGCAGCACAGCCCCUUGCUGGCAGCUGCUCAGUGUGGGCUGCCUCUUGUGCAACACCUGGGCAGUCCCAGGUGCAGACAAACAGGCUUGUGAAGCACAGUGCUUGCAGAACUCUUCCCUCCUUCCUUGUGAAACUCCCUCCUCCAAGCUAUUGAAAUCCUGGGAUAAUAAUUAACUGAGUUAAAACUUACUCUGUAAUCAUAGCCAUGUGCACUUUUCUGGGUGCGCUCAAGUUAGAAAUGUUUGCGUUUUAAGGCUCUUUCUGUGUGAUGAUCUUGCAGCACUUUGCAUACAUUCACUCAUUUGUUUUCACAUUGUGCUUUGUGUUUUAUUUUUGAUUGGAGGGAUGACAAGCUUCUUUUCAGGGUGUCCUUAAACAGGGAACAUGAAAAGGAUUUAAAUUGAAGGUCUGGGGGCCUAUUCCUUCUGAGUAAGAACACUAAUCCCCAGGUUAAGCUCAAUAAAUAAGCAGGGUAGCAGCAGGCAGGAGGUGGGACCAGAGUGGGGACCAGUCUGCCUGGAGAGGUGGUAAGACCUCUAUGGCCACAAGCAGUGUGACCACUGCUGGGAAAAGUGACAGCAUGCAUUGCAGCGGCUUGUGAUGGCUCUAAAGCAGUGACACAGCAGAAAGGAUUGAGCAGAGAAAAACCCAUCUUUCUUCAGAUCCAGACUGGAAAGUCCUCUUUGGAGAAUUGGACAAGCACAUGGCCUUGGGACAAACUGAGAGCUGAAGUGAGGGGGAAGAAGGGAAGUCAAACCUCCAGGGAAGGGAUGGUCCUGUUUCAAGCCCUCUGGACUUUGGUUUCUUACACUAAAACCAUGUUAAAUGUAACAGCUUUUGGUUCUGAUGUGUAGGCUUCAGAGAGCUCUGACUGGCUGUUGGAGAUGAGGAGAGGCUGUGUGGCCGCAGUUCCUGUCCCAAAUAAAUAAAUUAAAGCUGUGGGGUAAA